AACACGUUCCUUAGAUCCACCUCUGGAGGGCGCUCUGCUCCUCUGAGCAGGGACCCUCAGCAGCUUUCUUGCUGUACAGUUGGAGGUGCUUGAGUCAUUGACGUGUAAGAGUAGUCUACCUGUUGCUCGGCUUACUCGGCAUCACUAGCACCUCUGUUUUCAAAAAACAGGAGAUCACCUAGUGUUGCUAGCUUGAGUAACGGAUAUU